GUAGGUAGGAACUAAUCGCUUAUUUCAGACAUUUUCCGAUUGCUCUUUUCUUGUUUCAUGAAUUUUUGUACCGUUGCGGCGUUUUGACGGUUCUAGUCGCAGAUUGUGGUUCCGGAAUUUGCUGCCAGGUGACAAGGGCCUGCCCUUAAACUCCCGAUAAAGCGCUCGCGUCUUAUCGGGAGGUUAGGGAUUCAGUGUAAAGCACGCGGAACGUAAGACCUCGCAAGAUUUUCUCGCGGGGAAAGACGAUUCGGUAGCGAAUCUGGACCCGCUGACGCCGGGAUCCGUUCAUGACAAAGAGGCGCGUCGUGGAUGAACUUUUUAAAAUGAUACUAUACUUUCCCGAGUGAUUGUUUCGGAACGAAAAUCAUCUGGGUUAAUAUAAAUGUGUUGUGCAGUGUCGGUAGAUUGGGCGGAUAUAAACUGGAUUUUCGGUGGGUGGCAAAAUCGGGCACGCCCGCUCGAUCGGUUUAGGUCCAAAUUCGACUCGUCGGAAAAUAUUAGGGUUGGGGAUGAAAUUUUUCGCUUUCGACGUAAUCUUUUUACCUAUUUUUCAGUAUACUUCAGAAGGGUAAUACGUAUAUUCCAAAAUACCUAUAAUUCCUCGAUUUUUUUUAAAUACUCCUCGUGUGCGACGUUAUCGCCUUUGAGAUUGAUUGAUAAAAUACAUGAACUACAAUAUUAAUACCAUUGAUUCUUUGUCUCGCUGACGCUUCGGUAAACAAGCUGCAGACUUUUUCAGUGCGCUGUCUGAAACCGCAGAUGGCCGAAUCCUAAUUGGGAUGCGAGAUAGUUGGUUGUUUAUGUUAUUAGCGUGUUCGUUAGACUUUCGAUUUUUUCUGGAAUACAAUAGACUGCUGUAUGAAAGAAUUUUGCCCUAGCACUUCCUUGUACCCAAGAAAAAUUCGAAAGUUUAUCUCAACACCCUAAUAACAUAAAUUGUCGACUUUAUCUCUUGUCCACUUUAUAAUAAUAAUGAACCGUACUCUAAUUUCGAGCGCAUUAUAACAGUUUUCAAGUCUGUUCCCUUGCGAAUUCUCUAGAAUUUCUCACUAAAGGUUACAUCUAGGUCUUUAAAAUUGUCACAUUUUCUUAAAAUGUUUGAAAAUGUCAUUGCGAAACAUUUAUCUGUAUUCGGGGUAUAUUAUUAGAAGCACUCCAAGAACCAAUAAUCUCCAAUUCAUUCUGUAGAGGCACACAAUCGGCCACACUAUCAAUUCUUCUAAAUAAUUUCACAUCAUCAGCAAGGACCAUCAAUGUCAGCUAUUAUGUCAUUAAUGAAAUUAAAGAUUAUGAAUGGCGCUAAAUUGCUACCCUGGGGAACGCCGCUACUAGCCAUGAACCUAAGCGACGACUAACCGCUGUAUUCUGUUAUGCACAUAUGACUUUAUGAAUGCCACAAGAUAAUCACAACAUCCAAGCAUACUCAGUUUAGAGAGGGUUCAAAGGCUUUUGAAAAAUCCGUAUAUAGCACAUCCAUCCACCUCCCGUCAUCCACAGUUUUAGCAGUGAAUUCUGUAAAGCAAGCUAAAUUACUGAUGAUGCUUCGACCUUUAAAGAAACCAUUAUGUUUGUGGGUUACCAAGUGUUUCAUUUGGUUGAAAAUACUACAUCUCGAAAGCCUUCGCAAAAGCCGAUAUUAUCGAUACUUUUCCCCUCUUUAUAACGGGAAUAAUUCUAGCCUCCUUCCAGACAUCUAGGAAGGUGUUUGUUGCUAGGGCUAAGUUAAAAAAAGCAUGUGCGCAAUCUCGCACAAUCAAACAAGGAUCACAAGAUUUUUUUUUAACUUGUGCCAAUGCUCGUAAUAUAGUGUCUUCAGUUAAGUGAUUGAUAGUAAUAAAUGCAUUAGAAACUGUUGUUGAGGAGUCUUGUAUUCCACCCAAAAACUCUAGCAAAAGCAUUAACAAGAUUUUCAUUUUCCCAGUAAGUGAAAAUCUCUAUGGCAAUGCCGUAUUUGAACGCUUAGAUCUAAUAAACGACCAGAAAGAACUCGGAUCUUCUGUGUCUGCAUUUUCGGCCUUAAAGAUGUAGUUUCUAUAUGCCACAUCAAUAAUUCUUUUAAUAUGCGCAUGUAUUAUUUGUAUUGUAUUAAAACUGACUCUGAUCUGUUGUA